AACGAACGCUGGCGGCAUGCCUAACACAUGCAAGUCGAACGAGACCUUCGGGUCUAGUGGCGCACGGGUGCGUAACGCGUGGGAACCUGCCCUUAGGUUCGGAAUAACUCCCCGAAAGGGGUGCUAAUACCGGAUAAUGUCUUCGGACCACAGAUUUAUCGCCUUUGGAUGGGCCCGCGUUGGAUUAGCUAGUUGGUAGGGUAAAAGCCUACCAAGGCGACGAUCCAUAGCUGGUCUGAGAGGAUGAUCAGCCACACUGGGACUGAGACACGGCCCAGACUCCUACGGGAGGCAGCAGUGGGGAAUAUUGGACAAUGGGCGAAAGCCUGAUCCAGCAAUGCCGCGUGAGUGAUGAAGGCCUUAGGGUUGUAAAGCUCUUUUACCCGGGAUUAUAAUGACAGUACCGGGAGAAUAAGCACCGGCUAACUCCGUG
rnacentral:rRNA from 1 species